CCCUACUUGGGUUAUAGGAUUAACACCUAAUCCUAACCCUAAUUAAUGUGCUAACUACGAAUUUAAAGACAUUUCCUAAGCUAUUACAAAGUCCGCAAGUCAAGACUUCUUCCGGCGAGCUUCCGACGAACUUCCGAUAAACUCUCGGAAACCAUUCUGCGGACUCCCGGCAAGCUCCUAGACUUCACGAUUUGAUCUUGGC
rnacentral:lncRNA from 1 species